GUGGGGGUGCCGGAGUGGUCAAACGGGCUGCCUUUAAGCGGCAGUGGCUUAUGCCUACGCAGGUCCGAAUCCUGUCCCUCACA
rnacentral:tRNA from 1 species